UACGGAGGGUGCGAGCGUUGUUCGGAAUUACUGGGCGUAAAGCGCGUGCAGGCGGCAGACUAAGUCCGGUGUGAAAGCCCGGGGCUCACCCCCGGAAGUGCGCUGGAAACUAGUCCGCUAGAGUACGGGAGAGGGAAGCGGAAUUCCUGGUGUAGCGGUGAAAUGCGUAGAUAUCAGGAGGAACACCGGCGGCGAAGGCGGCUUCCUGGACCGAUACUGACGCUGAGACGCGAAAGCGUGGGGAGCAAACAGG
rnacentral:rRNA from 1 species